rnacentral:rRNA from 1 species
AUGCAAGUCGACGCGAAAGUCACUUCGGUGGCGAGUAGAGUGGCGGACGGGUGAGUAACGCGUGGGAAUCUACCUUGUAGUGGGGGACAACCCGAGGAAACUCGGGCUAAUACCGCAUACGUCCUACGGGAGAAAGGGGGCCUCUGAUUCAAGCUCCCGCUACAAGACGAGCCCGCGUCGGAUUAGCUAGUUGGUAGGGUAAAAGCCUACCAAGGCAACGAUCCGUAGCUGGUCUGAGAGGAUGAUCAGCCACACUGGGACUGAGACACGGCCCAGACUCCUACGGGAGGCAGCAGUGGGGAAUAUUGGACAAUGGGCGCAAGCCUGAUCCAGCAAUGCCGCGUGUGUGAAGAAGGCCUGCGGGUUGUAAAGCACUUUCAGUCGGGAAGAAAAGCCUGAGGCCAAUACCCUCGGGACUUGACGUUACCGACACAAGAAGCACCGGCUAACUCCGUGCCAGCAGCCGCGGUAAUACG